AGAGGCGAUGAAAGACGUAAUAACUUGCGAUAAGCCCAGAUUAGGUAGUAAUAACCUUUUGAGUCUGGGAUUUCUGAAUGGGGAAACCCACGUGCAUAAGCACGUAUCCUGUUGUGAAUACAUAGCAACAGGAGGCAAACCGGGGGAACUGAAACAUCUAAGUACCCCGAGGAAGAGAAAUCAACCGAGAUUCCGAAAGUAGCGGCGAGCGAAAUUGGAUUAGC
rnacentral:rRNA from 1 species